GGGUCGGUAGAUUGGUCAUGCCAUUGGUAUGCACUGGUCUUACUGGCUCCUCCUUCCUGAUGAACCGUAAUGCCAUUAAUUUGGUGUUGCGGGGAGACUGGACUGUUACUUUGAAAAAAUUAGAGUGUUUAAAGCAGGCUAACGCUUGAAUACAUUAGCAUGGAAUAAUGGAAUAGGACU
rnacentral:rRNA from 1 species